UUUACACGGCUGGAACCGUGGACAUCUUCACGCUUCCCCCGCAGCGCGGAGCUCAGAGCCCGGACUGUAGGGGUGAUGCGAAGGGGCGAGAGCUCCUCGAUGUUCUCCAUCAUCACCACCACCACAGCACAAACAGUAAGUUGAUACGUGUUGUUGGGGUAAUUGAACGCAACCCCAGGAUCCACAACUGGCAGGAGAACGAAAUCCGAAGACUGCUGAGGGCACGGCGAGGACUCCGCGGUUUACCGGCGGAUAAACAGCUGCUGGCGAGAGGGUCGUCCGCGGGUCACACAUGCAGGUGAUCAGCAAACUGGAGGCGCUCUGUACCACGAGCAGAAGACUCGCUGCGGGACCGAGCGCGUUGAAGAGCGAAGAGCAGUCAGGGGCGAAGUGGACGUCAGAAAGCUCAACAAGCACCUGGGUCAAGCGGAGGUGGAUGAUGACAAGGACCAGUACAAGCCCCCAGAACACUUGCACACAAUCCGCCCCCAACACACAAUUCCAUCAGAGAGAAAGAAAACGCCGGUGAUGGAGGAAGUCUCCACAUCAGUGUUGGCGAUGGUCGCCCAGAUCAGAGAGAUGGAUGCCUGUUUGCAGAGGUUAAAGGAGCACAAGAAGGAAAUGCAGAACAGUCUCAUGAGCCAGUUCAUAGCCAUGAAUGAAAGAGUCGGACGAGACACCUCAAACUUGUGGAAAGACUACUGUCCAAGUUUCCUUUGCCUUUGGCUCCUUCAGGCUGCUGACUGACUCGUUCUUGUGAGAAAUGACACUUGUGAUAAAGUUUUCCACCAGCUGUCCAGUGCCUCAGCCCAAAUUAACCUCAACUCUGUUCAGUUGUAGCUACUACUGAUCCAGGUCAUGUUCACACUUUUGUUUUUUGUGAAUAGAUUUCAGUCAUUAGUUAACCAGUUCAUAACAAGGACCUAUAAACUAGCAGCGGUGCUAGAAAAGCAUAAAUGCAGACAAAUGACAACAAAAGACUAAUUUGAAUGAAACAAGAAGCUUUUAGAUGCACACUGUAAUUCAGUUUUAUCGUAAUAGCAAAGCAAACGUGGAAAAUGAAUAGCUGGUCUUUCUGGUUCUGCCUUUGCUUUUUGAUAACAAGGCCUACUGUGGAAGACUGAAUAGAGUGGCUUUCUUUGUGUCAAAGAGUGCUGUGUGUUUUCUUUUCUUUUAAAUUUCCCUGAGCGCUCUCACCUUCUGUGUAGCUGUGUGUAACUCAGAUUUUCAUCUUGCCUAUGAAUGACUGUAAGCAAGAAAGAAAAUGCAGUAGACAUGUUUGGCUUUUCUGAAAAUUCUUUUCUAUAGAAAUGCGGGUUGUUGUGAUCUACAUUCCUCUUCACUCUCAGUGCUUUUGAACCUUUAAAGCUUCACCAUCAUGCUUCUGGGAAACGGAUCUGAGUUGUGUGAGUCUGAAAAUCUGCGUUUGGUGGAUUAAUACCUGCAGCGUGAACAUAAAAUAGAAGAUAGCUGAGUUAGUCUAGCGUCUGACACGCGGGUGGGUGUAUUUCUCCACCAUCAAAGCCAGACAUGUUUGAGUGAACACUGACAUGUAACACAAAGUAGGAGUACGCUCAGCUCCAGAUCUUAAACAUGCAUCGCGUGCCCGGUCUUGACAAAUAUGAAAACAAACAGAAUACAGGCACCAGACAAGAAUCAUUCAUCUUACCAAAUAUUGAGAGCAUAUUUCGGUUGAGACGUCAUCAGGAUAGUCUGAUGCAUAGUAAGAUGAGAUAAUAUUUUAAAAUAUAGUAUAAUAAUUAUAUAGAAAUAUGUGGUGAGGUCCAAUCACCAAUCAACAAAGAGGACACACUGGCACGAUAGAAAGCAGGCUAACCACCCAGAUGAGAAAACUGUCAUAAAAGAACAAAACAAAAAACAUCACGUCACCAUCCACAGUUAAAUACAACAAUAAGCUAUAGCAGAAUAAAAAUCUAAUCAACUUGUAUGAAGCUUUAUCCCAAUAUGUUUCUUUUUUUUGAACCGACCAAAACAGAAUCUCUUAUGAAGCCAAAUAUGUGCUCUGCUUGUUGAAAGGUUUCACCCUCUUUUACAGGGUCGGUGAUGGCAGGUGUGGACUCGUGCACUAAACACAGAACCUGCUGCUCAGUCAUUUCCUGCGAUCUUGUGGAACUGUAGAAUUACAGGUCGUCCUCUGUAGGUGAUGCUGUUCGGCAUAAUUGAGGGCAGUUUUUUCCUCACUCUUAUAGAUUAAGCAGGCUUGAAAAGGCAGAUAAUUGUAUUGAUUACAUGGUUUAUGUUUUCCUUUAUUUGAUUAGGUGUUGUAAGAUGUUAUAUCUGCAGAGUCUUGUAAAGUCAUUUACUUUUACUUCUUUCAUGAUGAUUUCCUCACGGCCGCCUUUGCCUGCUGUCUUGUUCUUUGUGCCGUGCAGCCGAGUGUCGUCUUUGAUGAUUGGUGUUUUGGACCUCUCCUAGUUUAUGCAAUCCCAGACUAGUGCAUUUUGCCAAUGAAGGCUCCAAGCCCAGACACAUGGGCCUUACCCAACAAUGGAUAUUAAGAAGAACACGUAUGCAUAUCGUGUGCUGGUUUGUGGAAACAGUGGGCCGCACUCAUUUGUAAAAGCAGAACAAAUCGCAGCUGCUGCUUUGUGAUGUGUUUGGAGGAAAUGGUAAAAGUUUGUAAUGUGAUUCGACAGUUACAGGACAACUGGGUUGUCACGAGCUUUCCGAGAAAGCAUUGUUGUCAUACAUAAACCAGGCAGUAGUUCCAAGAGGACGAGAAAAACCACCGUUAUUUACUGUAUGUACCACUGAAACCGUCUGUGGUAGAGCGCAUCAUAAGCAACAUGCCACGAUGGGCACUGCAAGGAAAAUGCACAAUAACUGUCAGUUUAAAGUUUGAGGUUUAUUAGAAAUACCUGUUUAGCAAUACAAUUAGUUAAAAAAAACAAAAAAACAACUACACACAUUUUAAAUAUUGAAAUUCCAAAAGCAUUUGCAGCUGGCUCCUCAGUUGCUGUUUCAGGUGUCAUUCUUGGCUGACACGAAAUUCCCGGUUGCGUUUCCUGCUCGCAGCAAUCCGGGAGAAAACGUGUCAUUGAGGAAAAACACCUCUGCAUCAGUCAGUCAUGAACCGUCAUAUAUCGCUUUUGCAGACCGGCGACAGAGUGUUACAUGACCUUACAGGCGUUAGUUUCACUUUCUUCACUGAUUCAACAGAAACAAAACCACAGGUCUGCCCUGCGUGGGCCGUGGUGGUGAGCAGCGAGACAGUAGCUGUUAUCAAAAAUGGGUUUUCUUUGUGACUCGCUCAGCUUGGUAUUUUUACUCCAGAUGCUUUUCUAGCGUUCUUUGCAGCCGCUGGUGUUUUACUUUUACUUUUUAAACAUGGUUUUUGUUCUUCAUGUGAGAGUUUUGAACUGACGUGACAUGAAUUCUGUCUGAAAAACAUUUCAAGGUGACCUGCAGUGUUGAAGCGUAAUGUCUGUGUGGAAGGAAGGAGGACGCCCCACCGGGCUGAUGGGUCGGGGGAUGUCUUGUGCGCCGUGGGAUGGAAACGGACCCCAUAACCAGCUGGGGCUCAGAAUCACAGCUGCAUUAUGGGUUCCGUUACAAUCCCACCCACAAACAGAGGGUUUCAGCAGGGCUGGGCUCAGGUCAGCAUGACUAAAAUAAAACAGGAAAACAAAAAACAAGUUAGAAACAGAAAGUAGGUGAAUUUACAUGAUAUGUUUGAGAGCAGUGAUCAAACUCACUCAUACGACCUGAAACGGAAAAACAUGAGUGAGCUUUUCGAUUAAUUACAUCGCAUUAUCUUUGUUUUGCACUGACAAAUGAGUCAUUAGGAUUUUGUUUUGGGUAAAGCGCUUUUUAGUGAUUUGAAAUUGAGAAGUGUGGUUUGUUUCCAUUGUGGGGCUGUGCGAGCAGCUGAGGGUUUAGAUGAUUCAGUGGCAGUCGUGACACUGUAACUUCCUCUGGCUCGUUUUGUUCUGGUUUUUGGGUGCUGUUACGACCUGAUCUCAACAGACCUGCAGUGGAUCUGAAUGGAAAUUGUGUAACCUCCACCAUGACGUAUUUAAGUUAUUUGGCUGAAAUGUGAACAAUUUAAAGAAAUAAAAGAUGUAUUUCAUCAAUAAGUAA